rnacentral:rRNA from 1 species
UAGCCGUAAACGAUACUCGCUAGGUGUCGGCCACGGUGCGACCGUUGUCGGUGCCGUAGGGAAGCCGUGAAGCGAGCCACCUGGGAAGUACGGCCGCAAGGCUGAAACUUAAAGGAAUUGGCGGGGGAGCACAACAACGGGUGGAGCUUGCGGUUUAAUUGGAUUCAACGCCGGAAAUCUUACCGGGACCGACAGCAACAUGAAGGCCAAGCUGAAGACUUUGCCGGAUUAGCUGAGAGGAGGUGCCAUGGCGUAGUCG